AACAACAGGCAUCACCAAAUACUUCUUCUAAAAAGGGAUGACAAGGUGAAGAAUCUCACAGCUUUAGGUCAUCCAGACUUAAGAAUAUACAAAAUGCCUGAUUCUUGAUGGAUAUUUAGAUUUUACUGAUGGAUAACCAUAAGCCUGAACUCUACUACUGGAGAAUCAGUGCCACAUUUCCCUCCACUAAGGACUGCUCAUGGAGUGGUGUGAAUUUGAAGAAAAUGUUGGGAGACAUAUUGGUCAUUGAGAAGAAUUGCCAACAAUGA
rnacentral:lncRNA from 12 species